UUGGUUACUAAAAAAAUUGAUUGGUUUGGGUCUAAGCGUACAUUUAAUAAAGUGGCAAUUUUAAGCUUUCGCAAUCUUUAGGUGUAUAUUACCUAACAAUUAAGAGGCAGAAACCUGUAAAGAAUAUUAAAGUCCAUAAAUUUUGAAAUAUAAAAUACGAUAAUUACUUAUAUAUAAUUCGGCAAUUAUUAGAGAUUCUCGGACUACUCUCGCAUUUGGUUAAGUCUGGAUUUUGAUUUGGUUCGAGUUCUAAAAAAACAUCAUUUAAACUUUUUACAAUUUUAAUUUUCUAUUGUUUUUUUUUUCAUUUUUACUUUGGUUUGAUUCUUUUUUUUUUUUUUGCUCAUCUGUUUAAAACAUGACGUACAUUUUAGAGUUAACACUUCUACAUAAAACGAGGAGUGAAUCUUUGUUUCUUCAUUUUCGACUCAAGAGUUAAGUCGAGUGUUUUCAGACUAAAGAUUCAGUUUGAGCGUCCGUACUGUACGGAAGGGGUUUGAUGUAUGAUUUUACAUUUCUGCAUGCUAUAUUACGCAUAUAUGAUUACAGUAUAUAAUGAAUCAUGCAUACAUAUGUGCAUAUUCUAUUUAGACGGUAGAUCAUGUGGUCUAUAUUGCUGGAUCUCAAUCGGUGAAAAGGGGGGGGGGCAUGAAAGCUGGAUGAAAAUGAAAUGUACUUUGCAUUGACAAAUGACUUUACCUCUUCCAUUUCACAAAUUCUUUUUUUCCUAUAAAUGAUUUAUAUAUAUAAAUAUAGAAUAAUUCUAUUCACACGUUAUGACAGAAGAAGAACCUAGAAUCUAUGGAACUUCGAUACGGAUAUAGAAAGUAUGGUCCAUACCCACGUGCACGUUGUUUGGUAUCUGUAUGUUUCCUUGGUUCCUUUCAUUAAAAAGCCGGUGAGCUUACGCAUUUUCAUGUUUCACAUAUCCCAGCGUUUUGGGUAAUCGUCUCUCUCAAAUCACCCAAACUCAGUUAACUUUUCAGUCGUUAAGUGUGUACAAACUACGUAACAUCCCCAUUGCGAGAAUCCAUCUGAUAAUACCUGGCCUUAGGUGAAGAAACUUAUUUUAACAUUCCAUAGCGGAUGAUUAACUCCUAUAAUUUUAAAAUAGUCAUUCGUAAUAAGAUAAUAAUAAUGGCAAUUGGCAAAACAACCUUAGGUAGGGGUGUCAAAAUGGAUUGUGAUUAAUGGAUUGACCAAAACUAAACCAAUCCAUAGUUCUAAUGAGUUAAUAAUUUGGAUCUUAAUAGAUUAAUGGUUUAGUGGCUUUAGUGAGUUUAGUGAGUUGGAUUAAUAAUGGUUUGGAUCAAAAUGGGUUUACGGGUUAUCCAAUCCAACCCAACUCGUUAGUCAAGAGGGUUUCUAUCUUAUGGAUUGUAUUUGAGUUUGGACUCUCAUGGCUUAAGAUGGCUUCUUUGAUCAUGCGUAUGAUAUUUUGGGUUUCUGAUUUGAUAUUUUCUUAUUGGAAAAUGCCUUUUGCCUUGUUGUCUUUAUUGAAAUUCAGAUUUUUCGCUUCAUCAUAUAAGCUCAUUGCUAAGGGGUCUCUUUGACUAGUUUAUGAAGAAACACUUGUAGACUUUCAAGCUUUAUUUUAUUUGUGGUUGGAAGAAUAUUUUUUGACUCUGUCUCUUCAUAGUGCUAAUAGACUUUUUUAAUGUUGACAGGUAUCUAUCUAAUGCAUUGUGCACCAGAUCACCAGCCUUUGCGUGUUUGUGGAACACUUGUAGCAGCAAGGUGAUAAAUUGAUAGUCGGUGGUGUUGUUUGAGGUGUCAACAAAUUUGGCAUCAACGAAGAUGAUGAAUAAUGAAGAUCUUCUAAAUAGUGGUGGUCAAUCAUCCAUGAGUGCAUCACGUCCAAGCUCUAUUGUGUACUCGUUCUUGGAUAUAUGGCUACAUAUUUGAUGAUGAAGAUGAUAAUGGCGAAGGUGAGACAGUUGUUAUUAGACCGAGUCCAAAUGACGUGAAGACAUGAUCACACAUCCACCAAAGGAGAGGAUUCCAACAAGAAUGUAAGGACAAAAACAGCAGAGGCUUGGGACAAGAAUACACACCUUCGUAAAAUGCCCAAACCUUUUUAUAUUUUGUUGAACCUGAGUAAUAUUUUCCUUUUGAGUCUGUGAAAAACAUAUUUUACAUAUUUUUUUUAGCGUUGCAACAUUUGGAUUUUUGGAGUUUGAAUUAUUAUAUAAAUAUAUUGUGUUCAAAACUUCAAAUAUUUUGAUAAGUUAUAAUAUAUAAUUUGUUAAUUUUUUUAUUAGCAUUUUUUGUUAUUAAAUGUUAGUAAGUCAUAUGGUAAUUUUAUUGUGAUGUAAUAAUAUAUUUGAAUUCAGUUUAUUAAUAGCAUUUUUGAAACCACUAAUUCAUUAAUUUAUAUGGAUUAUGGCUUAAUCCAAACUAUUUAGUUAACGGGUUGGAUUAAUUCAUGAUCCAUAAACUCUUCAGU